UUGAAAUAUUUGGCUAAAUUUAUUUAUAUUAAAAAAAAAAAAAGUAUUGUACAUCACUUAAUAAGUAGAAUAUUAGAAAACCACUUUUCAAACUGCUACACAAGAAAUGGUUAACUUUCUAAACAAUGACCUUCCAUAGUAUAUUUAAUUGACCUAACUCCAAUAACCUAAUUAAUUAACGAAGACAAAAUAUAAUCCCACACACAAUUGUAGGCCAGUUGUUUUAUUGUCACUUCUUCCAUACAAUGACAAAAUAUAUAUAGAUAUAUAUAUGAUUUUAAAAGUCAUCUGGCAGAAGAUAAGUUUUUUCUUUAGAAUUGUCUCCAUAAGAUGGGCAAAACUACUUUUGUAUCAUUAGCAGGACAGAACAUGAUCAGUAUUGACAGCCUUAAGAAAACUGUCUGAGGAAUAUCCAAGUGUUGUCAACAAAGCAAGCCAGUCAAAAUUAAGAUUGAGCAAUUAUUUCUUGGUUGUUUUUCUCUAGCCAACUUGCAGAAAACAAAACAAAAAAAUAAUCAAAAGUAUUUUCUUCUAACUAUUAGGAUCAGUAGACUCACAAAUGUUAAGCUGGAGUUUGUUUUAUUUAAAUGCUCUUUUAUAUUUAUGAAUAACAAUUACACUUUACCAGUUAAGUUAGAACAAUUUAAUAAGACAUUUCAAUUCAAAGCUGAUUAGUAUUUGUAGACUGCACAAAAUUUUGUUUUAAACCCAAAUAAAAAAAAAAAAAAAAGAAACAAAU